rnacentral:rRNA from 1 species
ACCGCGUGAGUGAUGAAGGCUCUUGGGUCGUAAAGCUCUGUCAGAGGGGAAGAACCUCCUGUCGUAUAAUACACGGCAGGGCUGACGGUACCCUCAGAGGAAGCACCGGCUAACUCCGUGCCAGCAGCCGCGGUAAUACGGAGGGUGCAAGCGUUGUUCGGAAUUAUUGGGCGUAAAGAGCGUGUAGGCGGUCUGUCAAGUCUGAUGUGAAAGCCCGGGGCUCAACCCAGGAAGUGCAUUGGAAACUGGCAGACUUGAGUACGGGAGAGGAAAGUGGAAUUUCGAGUGUAGGGGUGAAAUCCGUAGAUAUUCGAAGGAACACCAGUGGCGAAGGCGGCUUUCUGGACCGAUACUGACGCUGAGANGCGAAAGCGUGGGGAGCAAACAGGAUUAGAUACCCUGGUAGUCCACGCCGUAAACGAUGGGUACUAGGUGUUGCGGGUAUUGACCCCUGCAGUGCCAAAGCUAACGCAUUAAGUACCCCGCCUGGGGAGUACGGCCGCAAGGC